AAGAAGCUUCCUCUCCAUCAGUCAUUGCUUAGAUCUUUCAGGACAUGUGUGCCCUCAGACCCACCAAAGCAAAUAGGGGUUAUCUACAAAAAAUAUCCCCAGCCAAGCUACAUUUUCUGAAGCUCCUAGGAUUCUCCAGAAUUCAGUUGACUGAAAGAUUGAGAGUUAAGGACAAGAAAAGAGUGGUGUUGUUUUAUACUGUUACAGGCACAAACAAAGAAAGAAUAUAAGAACCCUGCUACAUCCUCCUUCAAGAUAGAAAGAAGAAACCCUAAACACAGAGAAUGCAAGAAGCAGAAGAGGGCCCCAUCUUUACAGCGAUCAGCUAGCAGAGUCAAAAAGCCUGUGUGGAGUUUUCAACAAAGCAGAGGUGCAAUUUUCCUUG
rnacentral:lncRNA from 1 species